UAUAAUUCCUUCCUCAUCUCAUCGCAUAGAUCGGUUCUGAAACAAAAACCUAGCCUUACACUUGCGAUUCCCCACCCCUGUUCCUGCACACUUCCACCGACCCACCGAUCCUGACCUCCGCUUGUUGCUAUUGUUGUCGUUGUCGCACAUAACCACCGACCUCCUCAUACCGCCACUGUCCCUGCCUCCGACUGUCAUUAUCGCACACCAACGUCGACGCUCCGUCGCACCACAAUUGUCGCUGCACUGUACUACCACCGUCGUUGCCCCACACCACCAUCAACGACGCCCUAGAUAAUGACAUUGGAUUUGAGGAGCAUCGUCUUAACCGUAACACUGAUUCUGGGGGGGGCAGCCAGACAUACAGGUGCUAGCAUUGGAUUUGAGGAGCACCGUCUUAAAUUGAAACAGUUGACAGGUGAAGACCCCUCAUUCAUUGAUCUUUAUUAUAAGACACAUCUUACCGCCGAAUCAAAGAAAAUAUAUUUUGGGGGAGAUAAAGAGGCGCCAGUGGAUUUUGUGAAUGAGACAUCUAGGGUGGCGAUCAUAAGUUGUCUUUAUCUUUUUAUAUUUUACUAAUAAUAGUUUUUACUUUUUAGUACAAUAAAAAAAGCUUUCUUUUGGUAUAUUCUAGGAAUCAUAUAACAAAUCCCUAUCUCAAAAAUAUGGUGAUGAUCCAACUCAACAUAAUGUGAAUGAUCCUGAAUUGUGGACCCAAACACAAUUGCUUAGGAAAGGCGGGAAACAAAAAGGUCCUAUCUAUGGGGCAGGAUACUUGGAUCUUCACUUUCUGAUGACGGGUGCAUAUUCUUAUGAGUCAACUUCAGCUUCCGUUGACUUUGCAAAGUCACAACAGGAGGUAAACGAGGUGCGGCAACAAAUGUCAAACAUGCAACAAGCCAUGGAUGAAAAGCAAAGUGAAAUGAAUUUGCAAAUGCAACAAAUGCGAAAUGAAAUGGAAUUGCAAGUGCAACGACAAUUGGUGGCCUUUAUGAAACAAAUCAAUCCGUCCGGUAAUCCACCAAGUAGUUCUUAGUUUUUGUUUUAGAACACUAAAUUAAUGUUAUGUUAUUGACUAGUUCUUAACUAUUGUAAU